rnacentral:rRNA from 1 species
AGUGAACGCUGGCGGCAGGCCUAAUACAUGCAAGUCGAACGGCAGCACAGUGGGGCUUGCUCCAUGGGUGGCGAGUGGCGGACGGGUGAGGAAUACAUGGGAAUCUGCCCAGUCGUGGGGGAUAACGUAGGGAAACUUACGCUAAUACCGCAUGCGCCCUUCGGGGGAAAGCCGGGGACCUUCGGGCCUGGCGCGAUUGGAUGAGCCCAUGUUCGAUUAGCUAGUUGGCGGGGUAAAGGCCCACCAAGGCGACGAUCGAUAGCUGGUCUGAGAGGAUGAUCAGCCACACUGGGACUGAGACACGGCCCAGACUCCUACGGGAGGUAGCAGUAGGGAAUAUUGGACAAUGGGCGCAAGCCUGAUCCAGCCAUGCCGCGUGAGUGAAGAAGGCCCUCGGGUUGUAAAGCUCUUUUGUCCGGGAAGAAAAGCAUCGGGCUAAUACCUCGGUGUUCUGACGGUACCGGAAGAAUAAGCACCGGCUAACUUCGUG